CUGUCAGUGAAAUGUUGAGCCUGUCAUUGAGAGUGUGUGUCAGCAUGUCUGUCAGUGAGAUUUUGUCUGUCAGUGAGAUUUUGUGUCUGUCAUUGAGAGUAUGUGAGUGUGUCUGUCAUUGAGAGCGUGUGUCUGCCAGUGAUUGUGUGCCUGUCAGUAAGUGUGUGUGUCUGUCAUUGAGAGUAUGUGUGUGUGCCUGGCAGUGAGAUUUUGUGUCUGUCAUUGAGAGAGUGUGUG